UGCAGUGUUGCUGCCGGAGCUCCGCCUGUCACACUGACAGGCAGCAUGAGCAGAAGCUCUUCACACUAUGGUCUCCCCCCACGCUCCUCCCCGCUGCACUAGUCAAAACAGGCAGCAGUGUCGCCCCUCCAGUCCUCCCUCCCCACUGAAGACACAGCAUCUUCAGCAUCACUCACCCCUCCUUCACGUAUGGGACAGCAAUGCACAGACAGGAAGUCAUGUGAUGUACACCUGACUGUGCACUGACUGGAGGAGCCAGCAGCGACAGGAAGAGGAGCAGCCAGCCACACAGACUGAGGAAGACUCUGCAGAGGCUCAGUUCAAGAUUAUCGGUGGACUGCACAUGCAAGUUGCAAUGCAUUGUGCAUGUGUCUCGAUGAGAGGAAUUAUUCACAAAGUGAUUGAAAGUCAGGGACCAUUUUGGAGAGAUUUUGGAAGAGAGUCAUCAAAAACACAGCUGUUCCAGUAACCAAGACCCAUGCAAGUACAGACCAAUGCAAGCAGAGAGCCACAGAAGCACAGACCCACGCAAGCAGAGGAAGCUAUCCUAUAUAAUAAAAGGCUAAGGCUGCUCCUCACCUCUUUUAUGUGCACUGCCAGCCUCUAGAGGCCGCCCCAUGGACCAAAUGAGCUGUCACACCUGAAAGUGAAAGUGAUACUGCAGAGAGAUUUUUCAGCCUACUAAACUGCUGCUGCUAAUAUUAAUAAUACUGAUCUGAUUGUUUCACACUUGCUGCAUACAGAAAGAGGGGCCAGGGAAAGAGCGA